UACGUAGGGACCAAGCGUUGUCCGGAUUCAUUGGGCGUAAAGCGCGCGCAGGCGGUUGUGAGAGUCCGGCGUGAAAGCCCCCAGCUCAACUGGGGGAGGGCGUCGGAGACCUCACGACUUGAGGCCGGUAGGGGAGAGCGAAAUUCCCGGUGUAGCGGUGAAAUGCGCAGAUAUCGGGAAGAACACCGAUGGCGAAAGCACUCUGCUGGGCCGAAACUGACACUGAGAGACGAAAGCUAGGGGAGCGAAUGGG
rnacentral:rRNA from 1 species